rnacentral:tRNA from 1 species
GGGGUCGUAGCUCAGUUGGGAGAGCGCGGGCUUUGCAAGCCUGAGGUCGUCGGUUCGAUCCCGAUCGACUCCACCG